GGGUCAAUGAUGAGAAACCAUGUCAUGAAGAGAGAUGAUGACAUAAAAAUCAAGCACCAGAGGGUUACGCUGAGGCCC